ACCCUGGGCGAGUUCCUGGUUUCUGAGGUGGGAGAGCCAUCACUGGAGAGGUGGCAUUGGCGCCAGUACUCAGGCCAGAAGCCCCUUGUGCCCUGCUCUCAGAACACAGGCCCCAGACCAGGAAGGCAUUCUGCUAAAGAAGGGGACCCGAAACCUCAGCUACCAGCGCCGAUGGUUCAUCCUCCGAGGAAACCUCCUCUUCUACCUAGAACACUAGACCGACCAUGCACCCCUGAGCCUCAUCCUGUUAGAGAACUGCCAGGUGGAACCACACCUUAAGGCUGCAGAACCCUAUGCCUUUACCAUCCUGACCCCUGGGGUGGAGGGCACAGGUGGGCGGGCCUACAAGCUGGCUGCAGAAACCCAGGAAGAGCUGGAGACUUGGCUGUGGGCACUGGCUGGCGCGAGCUGGAGGCGGCUGGCUGGGCUGCUGUCCCCCCUCCCCCCCCACCAAAACCCAAUACUGGGAGCUGUGCCAGGCAACUGGCCAAGAACCCAUCUCAUCCCCAGAGGACAGUGGCUUUCUAGCCACUGUGAGUACCCCCUCCAGCUUCCAGGAGUUGCAUGAGCACUUUGGGAAGGAGAUCCGGGUGCUGCACGUGGUACAUAGAGAGCUCCAGGCAGCCAGUGACAAUGGAGACAGCAGAUCCCAGGCAAAGAUGGAGCAGGAGCUCAACCAGUGUCUGAUGAGUGACUGAGAGAUGGACCCAAAGCUAAGAGGUACCUACUUGCCAAGACAGCAGACUGCUUCAACAGAGACCCAGGUCCUGGCUCUGUCCCUCCCUCCCUCGUCCUUACCCCAUCCCCCCCUCAUCAAAUAACAAGGCAGAAAACAGGCCCAGGUACAACAGCA
rnacentral:lncRNA from 1 species